UACGUAGGAGGCUAGCGUUGUCCGGAUUUACUGGGCGUAAAGCGCGCGCAGGCGGCACUUCAAGUAAGGUGUGAAAUCUCCCUGCUCAACGGGGAGGGUGCACUUUAGACUGAGGAGCUAGAGGACGGUAGAGGGGGGUGGAAUUGCUGGUGUAGCGGUGAAAUGCGUAGAGAUCAGCAGGAACACCCGUGGCGAAGGCGGCCCCCUGGGCCGUACCUGACGCUGAGGCGCGAAGGCUAGGGGAGCAAACGGG
rnacentral:rRNA from 1 species